AACUCAUUCUGUGUUUUGUGUGCAGGUCAUAGAGCUGUGAAUUAAGUAUUGCUUUGACGCCAUUUUAUGUCAUCUUCCUGCCAAGGAAUUGAUGCUGAAGUCAGGGGAGGAGGAUUCAUAUAGCUCGGCCAUAGCCAAAAGUAGUGCUUUGCCGUUACUUUGUGGCUGCAGCUCUCGGCAAUUCUGUACCUUUGAGACUGAGCUCAGUUCCUUUUGUAUUCCUGGUAUUGUGCCAUUGAUGGGCUGGACUACUUCUGCAUGCAGUUUGUGGGUUGAAGACUAUCGCAUUUGAGGAGGGAUAUCCCCAGAUUGGUCCAUUCCAUUCCACUCCAUCAUAGGGCGCAUAGCCUCACAGAAGAAAGGUUCCAGAGGUUGGACGAUAUAGCAAUCCUAUCUUGACAGAAGCAGGGUUGAAAUCUCUGGCACGAGGCCGACAUAUCUAGAUAGAGAUGAUGAGCCAUUCCUGAGGCAGGGGGCGGGAGAGAAUGAUGUUGAGUCUUGGAAGCGCGCUCGACCCCGCCGCACUGCCACCGCCACUGCUGCCUCAUCAGGCCUCUCCGACCUCCCGGGAAG